rnacentral:lncRNA from 1 species
UUGUAAUUGUUUAAUUUUAAAAUUUAGGGUUUUAUGGAACAUAUAUAUAUAUAUAUAUAUAUAUGCUAAAAUAUAAGUACUGGACUGAUUUUCAUAAAAAUAAUAACCAAUGGUUAUUCUGAUUUAUAACGUAUUAAAAUGAAUAAUUUUUCUUAUUUCUUAUUUCUUUUUUUUUCUGUUCUUUCAUAUGCAAUAGUAUUGAAUAUAUACUAGACUCCCAUUAUAGGUUGACAUCUUUGGAACAUCUCAAUGAAAGAUCAUAUCAAACUGACCUAGUAUAGUUCCACUUUAAAAUAUAAAAAAGAAGCCAAUAUUACUUGCAAUUAUCCUAUUUCUUCCAUUAUUAAUUACACCUUCCAAAAACCUAGAAAAUAUGUCAAUCAACACAAACCAAUUGCACUAACCACUCCAUUGUCAAGACAUUCACCAUGUCCACAUGCACUAUUAUUCUGCAGUCUAUCCAUAUUGCAACUCCUUCCCUUCACCCAACUCCAAAUAUAGCUCGCAACCCCUCAUCCAAUGUUGAAAAACCAAAUACAGAUUCCCAUGGUGUUUUUAAGUUUGGUGUGCCCUCAAAUUCUCACUGCAAGGGCUUUGUGGUUGGAUUCAGUCAGGGAGAUCAGUUUAGGGUUUUGGGUUCAUUGGGCCAGAGGUCGCACAGCAGUCAUGCAGUGGGACCAACAAAAACAAGACUGGGUGCAGCUUUGCCUUUGCAGAAGAAAUGUCUCCUCUGUGGGGCCAUCUGGGCUGCUACCCUGCAAAAGCUGAAGACAAAGCAAGCAGAGUAGGCAGAAAAAAAUAAUAUAGGUAUGUUCCCUCAACCCCACAAAAGUCAAAAUUGCUACCCAAUUGUAUAUUUAUAUACACAAAUUAUGUGUGUGUGCGUGUUUAUCAAUGACUACAAAGGCUUUUGUGGUAACAAUGGGAAGUUGUAUAUUUACUCCAUUCAAACGUUUCAAGUCUUUACCUUCCAACAUUACUCACUGAUAACUGGUUAUACAGCUGUACCUACUAAGAAACCCUAAUUCCAAUUAACCCUAAUUCUCCUAAAUGGGUAGUGUUUCUUCUUCCACUCUUUAUCUUGUUUUUAGUGUUCAGAAUAGCCAAGCAAUUUGCAGAGGGGAGCCUGCAGAGAUCAAGUGAUUUUCCUGUGGGAUUCUGUUUGUAUGGAUUUCUGCUCUUAAACUGGUCUGCAGAGAUGCAAGCAUCAUAAUAAACUGAAAACAAAGAUAUACAGGGGGUGCAGAAUCUAAGACCCUAGAUCUGAAAGUUGUGCCUUCCCAUAUCAGAAAGUAAAGACUACAUCAUCUGGAUCCUGUCUCCCACCUUACUGGGUAGCAUUGGUUGAAUGUGUACCAGGAUAUGAAGAGCAUGUGAUGUUGAUACAGAGCACAUGUUGUCAUGUAACCAAGUCCUGCAUGGAACACUGAUGAAUUUCUUCUUCAUUGCAUCCCCACACAAACCCACAGAAUCCAAUCAUUUUGUUAUAUAAAAAUUUGGGAAAUGAGGUAUUCCAGUACAUGCAAACAUGCAAACAUGUAAAAAUAAAAACAAUAAUAACAAUAAUAACUUAAUGAAUAGAGGAGUAAUACUACUUGAUUGUAAAAUUUUGUACUUUAGAUUAUAUGAGAGCACUGAUUAGACAUUAUUUUAUCCAUUAAAUUCUUGUCUUUGGUUUAUAAAUUUUUUCUCCUU